UGUGGGCGCAGGAGAUUUGCGAGGGUCUGUCCUUAGUACGAGAGGACCGGGAUGGACGAACCUCUUGUGAUCGAGCUGUCACGCCCGUGGCACCGCUCGGUAGCGAAGUUCGGUUGUGAUAACCGCUGAAGGCAUAUAAGCGGGAAGCACUCCUCAAGAUGAGAUCUCCCAAGACCGUAGUGGGUCUAAGAAGGGCCCAGGAAGACUACCUGGUUGAUAGGCAGGAUGUGGAAGCCGAGUGAUCGGUGAAGCUUACCUGUACUAAUCGCCCGUUCGGCUUGACCAUAAAA
rnacentral:rRNA from 1 species